UGAUGCAGCAACGCCGCGUGGAGGAUGACACAUUUCGGUGCGUAAACCCUUUUAUAUGAGAAGAUAAUGACGGUAUCAUAUGAAUAAGCGCCGGCUAACUCCGUGCCAGCAGCCGCGGUAAUACGGAGGGCGCAAGCGUUACUCGGAAUCACUGGGCGUAAAGAGCGUGUAGGCGGGCAUUUAAGUUGGAUGUGAAAUCCUAUGGCUCAACCGUAGAACUGCUUCCAAAACUGAUUACCUAGAAUAUGGGAGAGGAAGAUGGAAUUUCUGGU
rnacentral:rRNA from 1 species